UACGUAGGGGGGCGAGCGUUGUCCGGAGUUACUGGGCGUAAAGCGUACGUAGGCGGUUAUUCAAGUCAGAGGUGAAAGCCCGGGGCUCAACCCCGGAACUGCCUUUGAAACUAGAUAGCUAGAAUCUUGGAGAGGUCAGUGGAAUUCCGAGUGUAGAGGUGAAAUUCGUAGAUAUUCGGAAGAACACCAGUGGCGAAGGCGACUGACUGGACAAGUAUUGACGCUGAGGUACGAAAGCGUGGGGAGCAAAAGGG
rnacentral:rRNA from 1 species